GUAUCGGCUCUUUUCAGGGCCACAUAAACACAAUCAAAAAAGAAA
rfam:Lasius niger Lnig_2.1_15843, whole genome shotgun sequence.